rnacentral:rRNA from 1 species
AUUGAACGCUGGCGGCAGGCUUAACACAUGCAAGUCGAGCGGAGAUGAGGUGCUUGCACCUUAUCUUAGCGGCGGACGGGUGAGUAAUGCUUAGGAAUCUGCCUAUUAGUGGGGGACGACAUUCCGAAAGGAAUGCUAAUACCGCAUACGUCCUACGGGAGAAAGCAGGGGAUCUUCGGACCUUGCGCUAAUAGAUGAGCCUAAGUCGGAUUAGCUAGUUGGUGGGGUAAAGGCCUACCAAGGCGACGAUCUGUAGCGGGUCUGAGAGGAUGAUCCGCCACACUGGGACUGAGACACGGCCCAGACUCCUACGGGAGGCAGCAGUGGGGAAUAUUGGACAAUGGGGGGAACCCUGAUCCAGCCAUGCCGCGUGUGUGAAGAAGGCCUUAUGGUUGUAAAGCACUUUAAGCGAGGAGGAGGCUACUGAGACUAUACUCUUGGAUAGUGGACGUUACUCGCAGAAUAAGCACCGGCUAACUCUGUGCCAGCAGCCGCGGUAA